UACGGGGGGAGCAAGCGUUGUUCGGAUUUACUGGGCGUAAAGGGCUCGUAGGCGGCCAACUAAGUCGGACGUGAAAUCCCCAGGCUCAACCUGGGAACUGCGUCCGAUACUGGAUGGCUUGAAUCCGGGAGAGGGAUGCAGAAUUCCAGGUGUAGCGGUGGAAUGCGUAGAUAUCUGGAGGAAUACCGGUGGCGAAGGCGGCAUCCUGGACCGGCAUUGACGCUGAGGAGCGAAAGCCAGGGGAGCAAACGGG
rnacentral:rRNA from 1 species